rnacentral:lncRNA from 1 species
AAUGCGGUUUAGUGGCUGGAGUUUACCAACACUGACGGCGUCUCUGAAGGGCGAGUAAUUGUGUUUUUGAAAAGCUGGGAACAGGAGCAGCAGAAACGUUGCCUUUGCCUGUUGGCCUGAGCCUCAUCCAGGUGAGGAUAAGGGCUGGACACUGUGGCUUUCACAGAGUGCGGGGGGGCCCAAGGGCCACAUCUGCACACAGAUUUAGACCUACAGUGUGACCCUCAUCUAGGCCUACUGUGUGAACUACAUCUAGACCUACUGUGUGCCUUAGCAUAUCAGCCUACUCUGUGCUCUGAUAUUUGGAUCAACUGAAUGCCUUGACAUUCAGGUCCACGAUGUGUCCUGGACUUUGGACCUACUGUGUGCCCUGAUCUAUGCCUACAGCAUGUUCUGGUAUCUAGAACAACUACAUGCCCCAGCAUUUAAACCUUUUGUGUGUCCUGCAAGGUUGAGCCUUGCGGUGGGGUGUAGAUACUCAGAUACUCUCUACUGGAGUAUCUUUCUCUUCCCUGUCCCUGUGGAAAGUCUCUAGCCACCACCCCUGACCCCAGCAGUGCACUGGAGUGGUUAAAAAGCAUGCAGGUUAAAACAGGCUGUUGGAUUACUAUGUGAUUCCCAGCUCAGCCCUAGUCCUGCCUUGUAUCUCUUAGGAAAUCAUGUGACUUCUCUCAGGCUCAGUUUCCCCAUCUGUCACACCACUCUCAAAACUAUUGGGAAGAGCGCCAGGGCUCAUCUGAGGACACCACUUAGUACUGGGCCAGCAUGAGUGCCCAGUGACAUAGAUCCUGGGGGUACAUAGAGCUCUCGAGCUGCCUCUGCCAGGAAGGCUGCCCUGACUGCUCAUCCUCUGUGUAGACAGACACAGCUCUUUCCUCUCCUGUCUCACCAUUCACCCACAUUCCCUCCCAGCCCAGAGGUUCUCUGGAAACUUCUUGGCCACUAUCUAAGUGUUCCUGAAUAUCUGGGAGGUCAGGUCAGCCGAAAGCGCUAAGAACCAGGGUCUCUUGUGAACCUGACCAGCUUGUGUUAUCUGCUGAGUCUGUUUGGCCUCCCAGGGCCUCGAUUUUCCAACCUGAAGAUUGGGUGUAGCAAUCAUACCACAUGGAAUUUUAGCUCUAGAGCUGCUGGUCUUUGCAGGUCCACAGUGGAGACUUCGUGACGAGCAUCCCGCUCCCCCUCCCCCACCCCCCGGUUCACUGAAGCUCACUGUAGGGCUGUGACCUCCUGUUCCACAGAUGAGAAAACUGAGGCACACAGACAAGAUGUAGCAUGACCCUCAUCAUGAUGUGAGCAGGUAGGUGCCCUAGUGUGAACUCAGAGUCAGAGGCAGCAGGUAAGGAGGCAGACGCACUCCCUACCCAACUGUGGUCUGCGUUUGCCCCUCAUUCCUUCCUGAGCUGAGCCUGUCACCUCCCUGGGUAACAAGAGCCAUAAGCUCCCUCCCUGCUGGAAAAACAAUGACUUUGUGUUUCUCUAAAUUCUCCUUAAGCUUUCAGGGCGUCCGGGGCAUCACCUGUCAGCCCCUCUGCUCAUCGUUCCUGUUCUGGCUUUGAUUUGCCCUGGGGAAGAGAGCCUCAGCUUCUUCCGGAAACUGGGCAGUGGAUUUAGGAACCUGACCAGGGAAAGGAUGCAGGGUUCGACCCUGUGGCCUUGCUGGGGAACGGGGAAAGCCAGCGGUGGAUCUUUAAAGAGACCCCAUGAAGGAAUGCACAAACACCCAGAGAACUGAGCCUGGCAAGCUCUCAGCGCUUGCCCUACUUUCUCCUAUGCCAUUAAUUGAUUAAAAUUUUAAGACAAAU